GACGAACGCUGGCGGCGCGCCUAACACAUGCAAGUCGAACGGAGCUAUUUCGACAGAUCCCUUCGGGGUGACAUUGGCUUAGCUUAGUGGCGAACGGGUGAGUAACACGUGAGGAACCUGCCCUUCAGAGGGGGACAACAGUUGGAAACGACUGCUAAUACCGCAUAAGCCCACAGCUCGGCAUCGAGCAGAGGGAAAAGGAGUGAUCCGCUUUGAGAUGGCCUCGCGUCCGAUUAGCUAGUUGGUGAGGUAACGGCUCACCAAGGCGACGAUCAGUAGCCGACCUGAGAGGGUGACCGGCCACAUUGGGACUGAGACACGGCCCAA
rnacentral:rRNA from 1 species